rnacentral:lncRNA from 1 species
UGAACUAACCAAACUCAAGCCCAUGGUAUUGAGUCCACAUUGCAGAUAACAGCCCAUCUCUAACAGAAUAUAUAUUCACAUAGUAGGGUGAGAAAAACAGAACAAUCAUUAUCCUAAACACCAAACAGUAAAACUAAAUCCUCCCAGAAUGGGAGGUAGAGAGGAAUCUGCAUCAAAUAUGAAUUUAGUCUUACUCUGUAACUACUCUAUGAGCCUAUUUGCCAACUUUGUUUUAGCUAUUCAAAACUUUCAAAAAUGAACUAAGUCAGCUAAGGUAUUUCACUUUUACACUGCAAAUAGUUUGUGGAUCAAACUAUCAUUACCCCCUGCAAUCAUAACUGAACUUUCUUUUUUGAUAUUUUAAAGUCAACAUGGCUUUCCUGAAAGGGAGGGCAGAUACAAUCAUCUGUGUCCAUUUCAAUUUUCUGACACUUUUCAACACUAAGGAUAAAUGAAAUUGAAAGCUUUCAAAAAAGGGGAAUCAACUAUUGCCUGAUGACAAGAAGUUCGUGAAGACUCAACCACAAAUUAAAAACGAUUUGAAAAAACUCGAGAGAUGAAAGUCACAUUACCAAUUUAGAAUAAAACUCUUGGGAUUUAAUAUAGAAUUACUUUAUCUGUUAUUCCUACUUAAAGAAAUAAAGGUUUACACUCUGCAGACAGCACUACCUGAUUCCACACAAAAGCUACAAACAAAACCAGUUCAUACUUACCUCUUAAACAACACAAUGAGCAGGCUGCCAGGUGUUAAAGCUUCAUUAAAGAUGAUGCCUCUUGGAUCAUCUUGGCUGUAUGAGGCACCAUGUCCCUCAUAAUCGCCCCUGGUCCCUGGGCUGGAGUCUGUUUCUUCAUUUUCAUUUUUGGUUAAAGAUGCCACUCCCUAUGCUUUUAUUAAUUAGUGGAUGCCACUAAUUAAGUAUUUUAAUGAAUUUUUCAAAUUCUUUUAAAAUGGAUGGAUCAAUAGCUUCAUUUCAAUUACAUGAAAACCUUUCCAAGUCCAUGUUUCUGGUCUGUGGUUCCUGACUCCCUUGCCUGAGCCUCCUGCUCUGUCUGCCCUCUUCAUUCCUGAAGGCUGAAUUCAAACCUCCCUCUUUCAGACUUCCUCUUCUCUCUAGGUCUUGGGGGUCUUUGUUCAUGAAGGUCCCCUUUCUGGCAUAAAAACCUAAACCCAUGGUUGGGGACCUGGGAGAAAUAAAGUGCCUUUCAAGCGCUUCUUCAGACAUUGCGUGCAGUUCAGAAAUCUUUAGCCUGGGAGACUUUCAUCUCAACACACAGAAAACUCAAGUAAAACAUUUCCUCAAACUAUGGGCAUACAAAUUCAGAGCAUAAUCUAAUCCCUCACCUUCAGGGUACUAUAAGACCAGACGGCCCUAGGAAUGACAAUAAGGCAGAGAACAUUUACUUGUACAAAUCCUUCCUCAGCCAACCACGAUAAAGCUGAUACCACCUUACAGCUUUUCAAAGAGUAGCCUGAGGAGGAGAAUCACUAGCAGUCUCCAACUAAGGACAACAUCAUAAAAAAUACCAUCUGUCUCACUUUUGGCAGUAACUUGUCAGCUUGCUGGAAGCCUCUACAGAGACUAAAGGCUGAACAAGCCCGGAAACCUGAACUACCCUCUCACCCUCAGAGGCAAUCCCCAAAGGACAGGACUAAAGGAAAUAGCAUGAGGGAAGCUUUGAAUGUCAAUGCCCACAUGUAUCUAGUAUGGGAAUUUAAAAAAUCUUCUAUUUCCGGAGUUGUCAAUAACUCAUUUUGUAACCUUGGGCCAGUCACCUUAUCACCCCAUGCCUCAGUUUCCCCAUCAGUACAAACUAGGGACAACACUUGUUCAUAAAGUACUUUGACAUACUCAGUUGAAAAAUAAGUCAUACAAAUGCAUUAAUAUUUUCGGAAGUUUUAAGAUUUCAGUGUUAGCUUACAAAUUUGUAAGUAUCACCCCAACGGUAUUCUCUCAGAUGCCUGGAGCACCUUUCUUCUGAGGAGCUCAAAGUAAAAUUUGCGGUUCUGGGUACCUGGAAGCAUAAAAAAAUACUAGAAACCCAAACCACAUUUUAUUACCGAGUCUAUAUCCUGUGCCUAUCUUUUAAGAAGGGACAAAUACUUCGUAUGGCCCUUAAAUUCAUACAGUACCUCAAUGAGAAAGGAGGAGCAAAACAGUAUAUUAAACUGAAGAACAGGGAUUUUAAAUGACUUAGUCAAAUAAUUACAAAUGAUGUUUAUUCAUACCACAAACUGAAGGGACCAAGAACCAAGGAGUGGAGGUCUUGAACCAGGGCAAUUUACGCUGUUAACAUUUGGUCAAAAAUCUCAAUAUGGUAUUAUCUCUUGGCAUUGAUUUUUCAAAAUGACAGAAAAAAAUUAAAUUCCCCAUAUAUUGGGGGAAAAAAAUAAUACACUUUUUUGGGGGGUAAGUUGACUUUAAAAAGUGACUUUUAAUAAAAAAAAAUUUGAUCACAUUUGUAAUAGUUAUAUUACUAAUAAAACAAUGACAGAAUGCUACUUAAUUCAUAGUCCUAUCUCUAUUUAUUAUUCAUUCAAGAAAAACUUCCUGAUUAUUUUUCACUUGGUAAAUUAGCAUCUUUUAUUUUUAUUUUUUAUUUUUGAGACAGAGUCUCACUCUGUCACCCAAGCUGGAGUGGAAUGGUGUGAUCUCACACUGCAACUUCCGCCUCCCGGGUUCAAGCGGUUCUCCUGCCUCAGCCUCCCGAGUAGCUAGGAUUGCAGGAGCCUACCACCAUGCCCAGCUAAUUUUUGUAAUUUCAGUAGAGACAGGGUCUCAUCAUGUUGGUCAGGCUGGUCUCGAACUUCUGACCUCAGGUGAUCCGCCCGCCUUGGCCUCCUAAAGUGCUGGAAUUACAGACGUGAGCCACCACGCCUGGCCAGCAAACACAACAGGGGUACUCCAUGCUGUUGAAGUGCCCAUCACACGGGCAUGCUCAUACACUGCGGGUGUUAAGUGUAACUGGUGUAGCUUUUCUGGAAAGUUAUUUGGUUAUAUGCACUGAGAUACUUGAAUAUGUUCACUCCUGCUGUGACACAUGAAUUUUAUUUCAUGGAAUCCAUAUGUACUCAGGGAUAAUAAAAAUGCAAACAAAGUUUUAUGCACAUAAUACCCAUCACAGGGUUACUUAUAACAGCAAGAAUUAGGAGACCAAAAAAAAGGUAGACAAUAUAAGAGGAAUGGUUGGGUAAGUCAUAAUAUUGCCAUACAAUGGAUUUUAUGAAGCCAUUAAUAAGGAAGAUUUUAAUGUAAUAGAAAAUACAUGAGAUAAAUUAAGUAAAAAAAGCGUGACACAAAAUUGCACGUAAAACCUCACCCAUCUUAAAAGGAUGCUUAAUGAUACUUUUCACUUUAUGCUUUCAUAAUAUCUAAAUGAUCUACAAUUAACCUACAUUUAUUCUCUAAUGAGUCAAAAAGGCUUUUUUUUUUUUUUUUUUUUUUUUUGAGACAGAGUCUUGCUCUGUCAUCCAGGCUGGAGUGCAGUGGUGCGAUCUCGGCUCACUGCAAGCUCAGCCUCCCGGGUUCACGCCAUUCUCCUACUUCAACCUCCCAAGUAGCUGGGACUACAGGCGCAGGCCAACAGGCCCGGCUAAUUUUUUUUGUAUUUUUUUUUUAGUAGAGAUAGGGUUUCACCAUGUUAGCCAGGAUGGUCUCGAUCUCCUGACCUCGUGAUCCGCCCGCCUCGGCCUCCCAAAGUGCUGGGAUUACAGGCGUGAGCCACCACAACUGGCCGGUGGGUUUUUUAAUUAAAAAAAAAAAAAAGAAAAGAAGAGAGACAGAGUGCGUGCGUGCACAUGCCCAUACCUGUAUGUGAAAAAAAGUAAAACUAAAAAACCCAAAAUGCAAAGAGUUACAUCUUUGGAUUAUUUUGGUCCUUCUCCAUAUAAAAAAAUUAUAAUAGGCCAGGUGUGGUGGCUCACGCCUGUAAUCCCAGCACUUUGUGAGGUAGAUCACUUUGAGGUCAGGAGUUCAAAACCAGGCUGGCCAACGUGGUGAAACCCCGUUUCUACAAAAAAUACAAAAAUUAGCCGGGGGUGGUGGUGCACACCUGUAAUCCCAGCUACUUGGGAGGCUGAGGCAGCAGAAUCGCUUGUACCUGGGAGGUGAGCCACGAUUGUGCCACUGCAUUCCAGCCUGGGCAACAGACAGAGACUCCAUCUCAAAAAAAAUUUCCG